GUCUCCAUAGUUCAAAUGGAUAGAACGAGAGCGUCCUAAGCUCUGUAUAGAGGUUCGACUCCUCUUGGGGACACCA
rnacentral:tRNA from 1 species